rnacentral:ncRNA from 1 species
AGAUGUGCUCGUAGAGUAACCGAGCAGGGUAAUCAAAAGAAUACUCAUAUAAGA